AAAAAAAGAAGAAAUAAAUUUAAUAUAAUAUUUAUUAAGUCAGUUAUUGUAUGACAGGCAGAUCAAGGUUUCCUGGGGGAAGAAAAGGGAAGUGGAUGAUCUGGGAACAAUGGUGUAUUGAAGUGUCUGUUGGGAUGGAUAACACAAAGAAAAUCAAUUCAUAUUUUGUCUAGUUUUUGAUAAUGAUUAUAUUUGAUGACGGGUUUAGAAAGUGUAUUGUCUAAGUUAGAGUUUUGAAAUUGGUACCAGUAGACCAGGAUCCGAAGCAACCAAUGUACUAACUACAGGUGAGAUUAUGGGAAGUGUGUUAAUGUUAUUUAUUUUGAAGGAGACGAUUCGAUAAAUUCCCUGAACGUUUUCAGGGUAUGCGAUACAAUUCAAUGGGACGAUUCGAUACAACACCACCAGAGAAAGAGGAACGCUGGGCUUGUGAAGGGUGGGCGUGUUGUAAGUGCUGAAAAAAAGAAGAAAUAAAUUUAAUAUAAUAUUUAUUAAGUCAGUUAUUGUAUGACAGGCAGAUCAAGGUUUCCUGGGGGAAGAAAAGGGAAGUGGAUGAUCUGGGAACAAUGGUGUAUCUGUUGGGAUCAGGGUUGCCAUGCCUCCCCCCAUCAGUGGGAGUCUCCCACAAUUUUUUAGUUUACCCACAUACAUCUCACUCCCACAAAACUCCCACAAUUAGAAAUCUCCCACAAAAAUCUCCCACAAUUUUUUAAUUUCUCCCACAAUUUUUUUUUUAGCAUUUUAAUGUUUUUAAUAUAUAAAUAAUAAUUUUGAGAGACAGUAUUUGAUUAUUUUUAUAUUUUUAAAAUAAAUUUUAAAUAUUUAUUCGAAAAAUAUGUCUAGUUCUUUUAUUUUAUUUUUCCGCUAAUUUUAAAUUCUCCAUCCAAUCCAAUCCAUUCGACAUUUUCAAAAUUUGAAGUUAGAAUAGUAUGGGAAACUAGUGCUUUUUUUA